rnacentral:rRNA from 2 species
AAGGCUAAAUACUCCUGACUGACCGAUAGUGAACCAGUACCGUGAGGGAAAGGCGAAAAGAACCCCGGCGAGGGGAGUGAAAAAGAACCUGAAACCGUGUACGUACAAGCAGUGGGAGCACAGGUUUACCUGUGUGACUGCGUACCUUUUGUAUAAUGGGUCAGCGACUUAUAUUCUGUAGCAAGGUUAACCGUAUAGGGGAGCCGUAGGGAAACCGAGUCUUAACCGGGCGUUAAGUUGCAGGGUAUAGACCCGAAACCCGGUGAUCUAGCCAUGGGCAGGUUGAAGGUUGGGUAACACUAACUGGAGGACCGAACCGACUAAUGUUGAAAAAUUAGCGGAUGACCUGUGGCUGGGGGUGAAAGGCCAAUCAAACCGGGAGAUAGCUGGUUCUCCCCGAAAGCUAUUUAGGUAGCGCCUCGUGAAUUCAUCUCCGGGGGUAGAGCACUGUUUCGGCUAGGGGGCCAUCCCGGCUUACCAACCCGAUGCAAACUGCGAAUACCGGAGAAUGUUAUCACGGGAGACACACGGCGGGUGCUAACGUCCGUCGUGAAGAGGGAAACAACCCAGACCGCCAGCUAAGGUCCCAAAGUCAUGGUUAAGUGGGAAACGAUGUGGGAAGGCCCAGACAGCCAGGAUGUUGGCUUAGAAGCAGCCAUCAUUUAAAGAAAGCGUAAUAGCUCACUGGUCGAGUCGGCCUGCGCGGAAGAUGUAACGGGGCUAAACCAU